UACAGAGGUCUCAAGCGUUGUUCGGAUUCAUUGGGCGUAAAGAGCUCGUAGGCGGUUUGUUGCGUCGGCUGUGAAAUCCCGAGGCUCAACCUCGGGUCUGCAGUCGAUACGAGCAAACUAGAGUGUUGCAGGGGAGACUGGAAUUCCUGGUGUAGCGGUGAAAUGCGUAGAUAUCAGGAAGAACACCCGUGGCGAAAGCGGCUCUCUGGAACGGUACUGACGCUGAGACGCGAAAGCGUGGGGAGCGAACAGG
rnacentral:rRNA from 1 species